UUGCGGUCACAUCACAUUGAAACACCGGUUCUCGUACGAUCACCGAAGUUAAGCAACGUCGAGCCUGGCCAGUACCUCGAUGGCUGACCGCUUCGGAAUACGAGGUGCUGCAAG
rnacentral:rRNA from 1 species